UUAUGAUCAUGCCGAGCAGGAUGGACCACGUAUAUCGUGAAUAAUUGCAAACCAUGAUGAAUGUCUACUCCUACUUCCAUAAGACUUUG
rnacentral:sRNA from 1 species